AUUGAACGCUCGCGGAAUGCUUUACACAUGCAAGUCGAACGGCAGCACGGACUUCGGUCUGGUGGCGAGUGGCGAAUGGGUGAGUAAUACGUCGGAACGGGCCCAGUCGUGGGGGAUAACGUAGCGAAAGCUACGCUAAUACCGCAUACGAUCUAAGGAUGAAAGCGGGGGAUCGCAAGACCUCGCGCGAUUGGAGCGGCCGAUGGCAGAUUAGGUAGUUGGUAGGGUAAAGGCCUACCAAGCCGACGAUCUGUAGCUGGUCUGAGAGGAUGAUCGGCCACACUGGGACUGAGACACGGCCCAGACUCCUACGGGAGGCAGCAGUGGGGAAUUUUGGACAAUGGGCGCAAGCCUGAUCCAGCCAUUCCGCGUGCAGGAUGAAGGCCUUCGGGUUGUAAACUGCUUUUGUACAGAACGAAAAGGCUCUGGUUAAUACCCGGGGCUCAUGACGGUACUGUAAGAAUAAGCACCGGCUAACUACGUGCCAGCCGCCGCCGUAA
rnacentral:rRNA from 1 species